UCUAUAAACAAUAGUUGUUACUUCCUCAGUCGACAUGUCUCACAAUCUGUCACUGGGUAUGUAAUAGCUAUUCUGGAUAGA
rfam:Bombyx mori DNA, contig: Bm_scaf35_contig20969, strain: p50T/Dazao, build 2, whole genome shotgun sequence.